rnacentral:lncRNA from 1 species
GCAUUUUUAGGCUUAACACUUGAAAGCAGCUUUUUAAUUUUAAAAAGCUAACAAAUUUAACUUCUAAUCUUGAAGCCCUUGCAGUAGCUUUUAAACCCCAAAGGGGGCUAAAUGUAACCUUAGCCUUUUCUGAACAGAUACAGUGUAAGACUGAUAAGGCCCAUAUUUGAAAUCAAAGGCCUAAGAAGAGCACACCUAUAGGUCUGCACCUUCAUCUUUUGUUCAUUGUUGCAUAAACCCACAGAUGAGUUUUAAGUACAAAUAUUGAUUGACAUCAUGGCAAAAUCGUUCUCUCUCUCUCUACGGCUUCUAGGCCCAAGAUUGCUAUAUUCCACAAUUUAGCACAGGUUGAAAAGGGAAAAGGAUCUUUUAAAAUGGAACGGAAAAAUAUGACUCUCUAAAACUAAGAACUUAUUAGACAUAAAACUCUUUUGUAUGUAAUGUGUAGCAAAUAAAAAAGAGAAAUAGAUUGCACAAAAUACGAC